rnacentral:rRNA from 1 species
UACCAGCACCCCGAGUGGUCGGGACGUUUAUUGGGCCUAAAGCAUCCGUAGCCGGUUCUACAAGUCUUCCGUUAAAUCCAGCUGCUUAACAGAUGGGCUGCGGAAGAUACUAUGGAGCUAGGAGGCGGGAGAGGCAAGCGGUACUCGAUGGGUAGGGGUAAAAUCCGUUGAUCCAUUGAAGACCACCAGUGGCGAAGGCGGCUUCCCAGAACGCGCUCGACGGUGAGGGAUGAAAGCUGGGGGAGCAAACCGG